CUUCGGGAAACCGGAGCUAAUACCGGAUUAAUAUUUUGAACCGCAUGGUUCAAAAGUGAAAGACGGUCUUGCUGUCACUUAUAGAUGGAUCCGCGCUGCAUUAGCUAGUUGGUAAGGUAACGGCUUACCAAGGCAACGAUGCAUAGCCGACCUGAGAGGGUGAUCGGCCACACUGGAACUGAGACACGGUCCAG
rnacentral:rRNA from 1 species